UGUUUUUUUUAAAUAUGUACUUAUAUUAAAUUUCGGUUUAUGCUACGUCAUUUUAACACCAAUAUUUUUAUACUAAUUAAUUAGAUUUACCUAUUAAUUAAAUUCAACUAAACAGUAUUAUUUUACUAGAUUUAAAGACAUUAUGCUUUGUACCUUCUAGAAAGUUUAUAUUUGGGAGACGAAUUAUGCUUUAUACCUUCUAGAAAGUUAAUAUUUGGGUUUUAGUUAAGGUGGUUGUUAUUAGCCGAAAUAUACCUGCCAUAUAUUUCAGAUUUCUAUAUUGUAUUCUAUGUAAUUAUUGUCCAUGGUCUGUACCAUAUUUAGCUCUAGUUUGUUAGGUUUCCCCCUUUCUCUCUAUAAUUCUCAGAAUAUAUUAAGUGGAAUAUCAAUGAGAUGGGCAUUCGAAUCUCAAACAAUUACAUGGUAUUAGAGCCAAGGGCUCAUUACCGAUUUUAUUCUCCUUCCACAGCCAUGGCCAUGCCAUUUUCUUGUCCAUUUCUUUUUUAGUCUUGUCCGCCAUCUCCUAAUAUUCCAAGAUGUCCGAAUAACCCAACCCCAUCAAAUCAAUCCACCCAGCUUACACUGUAACAAACAUACAGAACAAGGUACGGAUUCUAGAUGGCACUAAGGUCACGUACUCUUCAUGGGUAAGACUGUUCACACUUCACACUAAAGGUUACAAAGUCCUCUCCCACAUCGAUGGUACAAAUCCUCCAGCUAAGACAUAUCCAGCCUGAUCAGAAAUCGAUGCUAUCAUCCUUCAGUGGAUCUAUGGGACAAUUUCUGAUGACCUUCUUGCUCGAAUGCUUGAACCAGACUCCACUGCAUACGAAACUUGGUCCAAAGUUUAAAACAUCUUCCUCAACAAUAAGGGCUCUCGGGCUGCAACCCUAGAGCACGAGUUCAACAACAUGACACUCUGAGCCAUGACAUCCCUUGAAGCAUAUUGCCAACGCCUCAAAGACCUAUCUAGUCAGCUUAACGAUGUGGAAUGCCUAGUCAACGAGAAUCGUCUCGUUGUACAACUGGGUCGUGGUCUAACCUUCGAAUUCGACACCGUGGCUGCCUACAUCAACCAACCUUACUUACAUGGGAUACCGCCUGCUUCAUGCUACAACUUGAGAACCAGCGCCAAAGUGCCCAGGACAACCACUCGCCUAUGGAGGUUGCUGCCAUCGUUAUCAUGAACCACCGUCCAACUCUAUGCCAUGACGUGAUUCUGUUAACAAGAGUCGCCAAUCUCAUCCACGUAACACUAGUCGACGAUUUUCUCCAUCUGGUUCUCAAAAGAGGCAGAAAUCAACCCACUCAUCGCGGUCCUUCGUCUGGUCAAAAAUCGACAGCUCCCUCGUAUUUGAACAAUCGGUGCACUCAUCUGGUCAAAAUUGACCCCCAUGGUCCAAUUUCCCAUCACCCUUUUCGGCUGCUCCUUGGUGGGCUUCCCCACCACCUUGCCCAUAUCCUACUUAACGAGGAUGGGCCACACCUUGGGCAACUUUCUGCCGUGAAUCUUGACCCCAACGACAACCAGUGGUACAUGGACUAUAUGGACUGAGGAGCUACCACUCACCUUAUCGCGGACGCAAGGAGCAAGCCUGGGGAGGUGUUUUGGAAGAAAGAUUGAAAGCUUUCAUCUGUAAUUGUGCAUUCCACCAUUGAUGAGUUCAAACUCUUCUUGAGGUUGAAGAUGAAGUGAAAAAGUCAAGAACACAUCACCAAUUCAAGCAUUUGACUGGUACAUUCCUUCCAUAUCUCAAGUUUAAUGCAUGAAUUUUAAGAUAGUUUGAUUAGAAUUGUUGAAAAUUCGUUCGCGUGCUUCAUAUAGUUAUACAUUCCUAUCUCAAUAGUUAUGCUUUUGCUUUUGGUCAUACUUUGCCUAGUUGUGCUUUAGCUUUUGAUCAUACUUUGUCUGUCAUAUACAUUUGGCUUGUUAGCACCAUGACAAAACACAAGAAUCCAAAGCCAAAGGAGGAAUGGGAAUCCAAGUAUGGUGUCACCACCAUUGUGCACCGUUCUCUGGAGGAGCGUGACCGUUACUGUCACCUAAAGGGUCGUGAAUACUCUCAACAACGGUUUGUACACAUUCCCACUCUCCAAGAAAUAGGAGUUUAUGAUGGGGUCUUUCGGCUAUUUAGCAAUAUCGGGUGGGAGAGUAUUAACUUUAACACCUAUGGAUUCGUUCAAAAACACAACUCUUGAAUUCUUACAAUCUUUGCAUUUCAAUGAUGAUUCCAAAAGACUCUCAUUCCGCCUCAUGCAAUUGCAAUUUUUUCCAAGGCUAGACGAUCUUAGUGGGUUUGUAGGGAUCUCUACGGACAAUACUUAUGGUCCUCAUUUAGGAUUUAAGCGAGAAAAAAAUACCCUCUUCAAAGCUAAGGACUUUUGGAUGGAAAUCAUAGGGUUGGAUUCUUACGAGGCUCGAUCCGCCAAAGCUUCUCAAAUCAUUCAUCCGGUCUUAAGGGUGGCCCUCCAAAUUAUCUCUAAUGUUGUCUUCCCCCAAGAAGAUACAAGCAAAACUAGUAAAAUGGAGCUAGAACUUCUUUAGUGCAUGGUCACUGGCCUUAAAAGACCACAUUUUGGCGCCUUUCUUGCCUCCAAACUUGUCAAGAUUUCCACUAGUGAUUCCGACCCCAUUCAUUGUGGCGGGAUAGUCACUUAUCUUGCCACUCGCCUUGCUUGUGCCGAACUUUUUGAGGAGAAACGCCCUGAUCUCGAGAAAAUCACACAAGGCUCCAAUGCCCUCACGUCUAAUGUCCUUGAAACCUCAUCUUUCUUCCGCAAAGAGAGUGAAGGUAGUCUUACAUGGUGGGUGCAGAAAAAACCUCAUUUCUGAGUUCCUGCUGGGGAUUUCAGUUCCCUCCAACUCCAACAGGACAUCACUCAGACACGGUGGUUAUUGCUAAAUAACAUUUCUGCUAAGCCCAUCCCGCGAUCUCCUAAGUGGAUAAUCGUCGACCACGAAGACGAAACCAGUGCUACUCCUUUUGUCCCCCUCGCUCACUUUACUCCUCCCACUGCAGGAGGAUCAACUUCUGUUGUCCCGGUAGAGACCACCCAUUACAUCUACACCAACCGGGCGACUCAGUACCACGACACAUACAUGAGGCGUUUUGAUCUCCUUGAUCAAGUUGUUGCAGACAUUCAAGCUAAUUUAUCUGCAACCAAUGCAUCCAUUCAUCAAUUGGCACAAACAGUACAAAAUAUUCAUUCUGAGUUUAUGCGGUGUUGGACCCCUCGCGGUCAACCUCCGCCUCAUCCUCCCACCACUCGGUAGGCCUCUCUGAGCAUCGAUGACAAUGCUUAAUCUUAAGCUUUGGGAAGGUCUUUGUAUAUUAGGUUCUAGUUUCCUCAUGCAUUUCAUCAAAAACAUUUCAAUAACCCAAAAAGAUUUUGCUUUUCUUAUUUUCAUUUUUUAAGUGUAUUCAUUUCAAAGCAUACAAACAAAAUUACAAAAAUAUUUUCAUUUUUUAUUUUAUUUUAUUUCUUUGCAUUUUGCAUUUUUAAUCACCAAAAAUUACAAAAAAAAUUUAAUUUCAACUUAUUCUUAGUUUGCAUUUCAAAUAUAUAUAUAUAUAUAUAUAUAUAUAUAUAUAUAUAUAUAUAUAUAUAUAUAUAUAUAUACACAUCAAAUCAUAAAGGGUGCGAGUAGUUGACCACCUUGAAGUCCAAAGAAAAAAUAGAAAUUAAAUAACUCCUCACUUUGAAUGUGUCGCACAAACAAAGAAUGCUAGACCUGACGGUGUCAUCUUUGUCGUGGGUUUGGUAACUCAAAAAUAGAGGGUAGAUGAUUUUCUGUGUUGAGUUAUGGAGUAAAGGAGGGUAAAACAGCUUUUGAAAAUACCGCGCUCUUUAAAACUCGAUAUUUCACGCCAACUCUUGUUUGAAAUGACCGGACAACCAUCUUUAGAAUCACUUUUGAGUAGACCUCUUGAAGGGAGAUUUUGUUGCAUCCACCUGUUCACACAUCGUCUGAAGUAUUGAAGACUUGGUUGGCCAUUACACCUAAUCGGGCUAAAAUCUAUACAAGCAAAUGAUUCAAGAACCAAUAAAGCUACAAUAGAAGAAAGAAUCCACAAGCCAAGUCUUACACCAAAGAGAUUCAGAAGCAAAGCAAGUCAAAUAAAAAGAAAUCAACCUCAAAUAAUUAAAAAGCAACUUGAAGAAGCGAAAGACAAAGUUUAUCAAAGCAAGUCAAAGAAGUCAAGUUGAAGGUUAAAGACACGAACAACACAAGAUCUCGGAAGGAUGCAAUGAUUGAUACCUUUGGCAGGAAGCCUGAGAUGAACAGUGAGCAUUGGGAUGGAUUGAAAUGUUGAGUCAACCGGGAGUACAUUGAGAGAGUUUUAGAGGAGCGGUCCCUUUUUAGAUAUAUGGUACCUUCCCAAAUAAAGUAAUUUGGCACCAGGGUUGUCUACAUUUUCAAAACUACUGAAUCGGUGACUUUCGUGUAAAGUCUCACGACCCUCUGACUUUGAACUCCGAACCCAUGUUGUCAUUUAAAAGAUGACGUCCAAGGUUUGACUAUGUUGACACUUACUUAAAGUGAGAACAAUAAAUGGAUAACAUUUUGUGUUUGGAUAAUUGGUAAUUGACUUUCGUACCCCUGGUGAUCGAACAAGUAGAAUUAUGAAAUUCGAAAAAAAAAUCCUUUUAUUUUUUUGAAACUUUCUUAAGCUUAUUUUCUUAGUUUCUUUUGUAAAUAUGUUAUUUUCAUUGUUUUUGUUCAUGCAUUCAUUCUUAGCUCAUUUAGGGUCUUUUUGUCCCUUUUGCUUUAUGUUUCUUUUUGCCAUCUAGAAAUUUUGUUUUGCCCGAUUCUCGUUCUUUCUUGAGGACAAGAAAGGUUAAGCUUGAAGAGGUUUGUUAGGUGCAUUUUGUGCACCUAUUUUAGACGUCUAUUCCUAUCUUUUCAUUGUGUUUUACUUCCUAAUUCUUGUAUUUAAUUAACUAUUUGGGCACUUACAUAUUUUAUUUAGAAUGUUUGGUACUUUACUAUCUUUUGAUUUAUUUUGCAGGCUUAUAGAGCGCAGAGCAUUGGAGUUACGGAGGCUAGAAUGGAGCUUAGAUGAUGGAGCUUGGAGCAUGAAGAGAAGAUGGAUUGGUUGUGUUACGAAAGAGAACUUGAAGACAUAACCCGAGUCGUUGCAUUUUAUCAUGGCAAAAGACCACUUUUGAUGCAUGAUCCAUGUCACACUGACACGAGUCAUGUUUGUCAUUUUUAUCUUAGCAACAUGACUCGGGGUGAAGUUAGAUCGAAGAUAGAUUUGAAGACUUAUUUGAGUUUUAGCAAAAAACACGUCCAUGCUGAAAACACAUGGCCAUACUGAAAACAUAUUGUCAUGCUAAAAAAGCAUUGUCUUAUGGCAAGCACGCGAACAGUUAUUUGUGGGGCUAAAUAGUACGAAAUCGUCAUUUUGAUAGGAGGAAACGGUUUUGAGAACAACUGGAGGCAAUUUUUGGAGAAUUUUGGAGCUUUUGAAGAUACCAAAUCAUUGCAAACAUUUUUUUAUUUCCAUUUGUAAGCAUUAAACAAUUCCAAUUUCAUCUUUUUUGUUGGUUGAUUUGUUCUUAACCAUGUGUGGCUAAGAAACAUUAAUUUAUAGUUCUUGUUCAAAACAUGUUGAUUGCUUGACUUGAAGCAUAUGACUUAAUAUUUGAUUUAUGAUUAUAUUCUAGUGAUUAUGUUC